rnacentral:piRNA from 1 species
UGAACAUGGUCCUGUCCACCAAAUCAGGCC